rnacentral:SRP_RNA from 1 species
UCGUGCUAGGCGGGGAGCUAGCGGUGCCCUGGACUCGCAAUCCGCUUUAGCGAGGUCGAAUUCCCGCCUGAGGGCGUCCACUGUGGGAACUGGCGCGGCUAAGCGGCGCUGAAGCUUGGGUCCCGUGCGGCGAGACGCUACGAACCCCGUCAGGUCCGAGAGGAAGCAGCGGUAAGUAGCAGCUUUCGGGUGCCACGGGAGUGCCUGGGCCGAGUUGGCUGGUCACGACAAGCCUGUGGCGGCGUUCGACGGCGGGUGCACGG